rnacentral:rRNA from 1 species
UGCGUAGGCGGAAUAUUAAGUCAGUAGUGAAAUCCUGCAGCUUAACUGUAGAACUGUUAUUGAUACUGGUUUUCUUGAAUAUAGUUGAAGUAGGCGGAAUGUGUAAUGUAGCGGUGAAAUGCUUAGAUAUUACACAGAACACCGAUUGCGAAGGCAGCUUACUAAGCUAUGAUUGACGCUGAGGUACGAAAGCGUGGGGAGCGAACAGGAUUAGAUACCCUGGUAGUCC